ACCCGGUUGGGGUGCAGUCUGCGACCGCGGCUCGGCAAUCGCACCCUCCCUCCUAUUUUCGGGUGCAACAGGAGCGAACCAGCAGCAUCCGCUUUGGGAAUUCCCAUGGAGAGCGAUAUCGUGGAGGAACUUCUCUGCGUUGAGGCCGAGCUCCAAGACGUCCAAGACCAAAUUAAGAUAUUACUUGACCACCAAGAAAGGUUGUACAGGAAACAAUCUGAGCUCAAGGCCUUGUUGGAAGAAUGUAAAACAUCUGAAAAUGAAGCAAAUAACAAUGCUUCCAUGGCAGCAGAAAAUUGGUCAGGGAAUUUUGAAUGGGAUUCUCAGGCUGAUGAUAUUAGAUUCAAUGUUUUUGGUAUUUCCUCUUAUCGAGCAAAUCAACGCGAAAUUAUAAAUGCCGUCAUGAGAGGAAGGGAUGUUUUGGUUAUAAUGGCUGCAGGCAGUGGUAAGAGCCUCUGUUAUCAACUGCCAGCUGUACUUUGCAAUGGUGUUGCCCUGGUUGUCAGUCCUUUGCUUUCUCUAAUUCAGGAUCAGGUUAUGGGACUGACAGCAUUGGGAAUUCCAGCUUACAUGUUAACUUCAACCACUAGUAAAGAAGAUGAAAAAUUUAUCUACAAAGCCCUUGAUAAAGGUGAAGGAGAAAUGAAGAUAUUAUAUGUUACACCUGAAAAGAUUUCGAAGAGCAAGAGAUUUAUGUCUAAGCUUGAAAAGUGCCAUAAUGGUGGGCGCCUUUCUCUUGUAGCAAUUGAUGAGGCACACUGCUGUAGUCAAUGGGGUCAUGAUUUUCGUCCAGAUUAUAAGAAUCUGGGUAUCUUGAAGGUUCAGUUUCCUAAUGUUCCCAUGAUUGCUUUAACUGCUACUGCUACAUAUAAGGUCCAGACAGAUCUGAUGGAGAUGCUGCAUAUUCCUAAGUGUGUUAAGUUUGUCAGUACAGUUAAUAGGCCCAAUCUUUUCUACAAAGUACUUGAGAAGUCAUCAGUUGCAAAGGUGGUCAUUGACGAAAUUGCAGAUUUUAUACGAGGGUCAUAUCCUAAUAACGAGUCGGGGAUAGUUUACUGCUUCUCUAGGAAGGAGUGUGAGCAGGUUGCAAAGGAGUUGCGAGAACGUGGAAUUUCAGCGGAUUAUUACCAUGCAGAUAUGGAUGUGACUGCUCGUGAGAAAGUUCAUCUGUGCUGGAGCAAAAACAAAUUACAAGUUAUUGUUGGUACGGUGGCAUUUGGAAUGGGAAUAAAUAAGCCGGAUGUCAGGUUUGUCAUUCAUCACAGCCUCAGUAAAUCAAUGGAGACAUACUAUCAGGAGAGUGGUCGAGCGGGAAGAGAUGGACUUCCAUCAGAAUGCUUGUUAUAUUUUAGACCAGGCGAUGUUCCACGCCAGAGUUCAAUGGUCUUUUAUGAGAACUCUGGCUUGCAAAAUCUCUAUGAUAUUGUCCGAUACUGUCAGUCUAAAAGAAACUGCCACCGAGGUGCUUUCUUUCAGCAUUUUGGGGAACCUCUACAGGAUUGCAAUGGGAUGUGUGAUAACUGUGCGUAUGGCCAUGAAAUUAAGGAAGUAGAUGCCACCUAUCAUGCAAAAGUCGUUGUAUCAUUGUUACGUGACAUGCAAGACAAUGAGCAGAGAGCAACCAUGUUGCAGUUAGUUGAUAGGCUCAAAGUGAAGAUGAAGGAAGUAGGUGGUUCAAAUAACUCAGUUUCUGAUCUCAAGAAAGAUGAACUAGAGCAGUUGAUAAUUCAGCUGAUACUAGACCGUGUUUUGAAAGAAGAAUUUCAGCAUACAGCAUAUGCAACUAAUGCAUAUGUUGCACUAGGGCCACUGUGGAAGCUAGCAUUGCAAGGGAAAAAACCAGUUGUGCUCGAGAUCUGCAUGGGGCAGCGCAGAAAUAGCAGCAUUCAUAAAGAUGCUAGGAAUAGCCAGACAUUUGGUCUGGAAAUGAAGCUGGAUGAAUUGCGUAAGGAACUGUCUUCUACCCAUGGGGGAAUAUUUCCUCAUGCUGUUCUAUCUACUCAACAGAUCAGCAUAUUGAGCACCCAUAAACCAACAUCCAUAACACAGGUGGAGAAGCUGAUUGGAAAAGUAAAGGCUGAGAAGUAUGGCAAUAGAAUUGUUGACCUAAUUCAGCAGUACGUCGAGUCAGGGCAGCCUAAUGGUGAUACAUCCGGGGUAGCUGAAGCCAGUGAAAACAGAGCAAAUAAAAGGCCGCGGAAAAAUAGAAGUCUCAUUCUAAUUGAAAGCAGUGAAGAUGAGGAGUGAAGUAGUUGGAGGGGAUUAAUAUAGAGGGGCACAGAGGUUUCUAAAUUAUGUUCCCAUGCUAAUUUACGAGAAGGGUAACUAGUUUUUUUGAGUCUUUUCCAGGCGGUAAGGUGGCAUCAUGGAAAGAAGGCUUGAUUUUGAAGAUCAGAAAUGAAGUACGUUGACCGGUUGCACGAUGUAUAUGACGUGGUUCCAGCGUGUCUCGAAUUUGGAUAUGCUGUGGACUUAAGCUUAUGUUCCAAGGAUUCCUGAAUCUUUUCCAUUUCAAACAUAAUUUUGGCGAGCAUACAAGACUGCACACAACCAGAUGAACUGUUAGCCUUGAUAAUAUUUUCAUUAGAUCUGAUGCUUGUGAGCAGGCUGUUCUCGAAAGUAUAUUCUAAGGAUGCGAAUUAGCAACACACAGUUAAGGUCACUCGGUUAACUCAAGGGACAUGGUUUACAUGAAAAAAUUAUCAUGUGACUCUUUAUCAGUCGUCUUCUGUUUCCGGGUUUGUGCCCCCUACUCUGUUUCUGCUUGCCUACAACCCCUACCUAUCGGACAAUUUGGCCUGCCGAGUAAUAGCGAACAAAAAUCAUAUGGCACGGAUAAUAAAGAAGAAAAUAUGGGGCGGACAUUUUAUUUUGUCAUGUUUCCUCUUAUAUCAAUAUUAAAGUUGAAGUUUAGAAGUUGGGGAUCUGUUCUGCUAAUGAAGUCGGGUUCAUGAUUAAAAAAAUUAAAAAAGAAAAUUGCAUGUUGUAUUCUCUUU